rnacentral:tRNA from 1 species
GGGGGAACUGUGGCUGAGGGGCAGAGCAUUUGCUUGGCAUGCAGAAGGUACCAGGUUCAAUCCCUAGCACCCCCA